GGGGUCCGGCUGUGUGUCAAGCUCUCAGCUGCAGAGAGGGAAGUUCUGUGAGCCUGCACACUGUGCUCUACCCAUCCUAAUCCUGGUUUCUUUACCCAUCAGGAAAGUGAGGCUUAAGAAGUAUGUCAGCCCAAGUUCACACAACUAGCAAGUGUGAAACCAGUAUUUAUGCUUGGCCCUCCGACUCCAAAGCCCAAGAGCUUUAUCCUGCUGUGGGACUCUCUUCCUAGGCCUUCCAGAAAAGAACUUGGGAGACUAUUGUGAUCCAAUAAAGUGGCACUGGUGCUGUGGCAUUUCUGCUAGUCCUUAGCCAUGAACUUUGGCCUUUGACUGUGCUGUCCAGGGAUUUUUGCCUCCAUCGCUGCUUCGCUCAGGUUUUAUCAUCACAGAGUCAUCACCAUGUCCCAUCCCGGUGACUCACUAUGCAAAGCCUGGUGUUCUACUCACAGACUUACCUUGUUUGUCAAAGGUUUGUGGUCACUGACAAGUGUUAUUAGAUAACCUGAAGAUAGCUAAACACCCUGCCACAGGUGCUGGCCCUUUACCUAAAGGAUUCCCCGAAUCACUUCUUGUCCAACUCCAGUUGCCUCUGUUCUUGACUUUGGUAUCUGUCCCAGUUCUGCAUUUAAUGAUUCAUUUUGAAACCUGAAUCUUAGCAUGAGCCAUUUAGACUGGAGUCUGGCAUUCCAUCUCCACCACUUCCUAUGGCCACAGUGUGUGAGAGGCAUUUCUACUUCCUGCUGUACGCUGUAGGCCAACCAGCCAGGUUGUGUCCUGCCUGUUGUCUCUGCCGGUGGAAGGAGACUAAAAAUUAUUCUAGAGACUGGCUUGCUUCUUGACGCCUCCAAGUGUCUAAACUUAGUGACUUGCUUGAAAUCAAUAGACUACAGCAGAGAUAAUAAGAUGUCACUUCCAUGAUUUAAUUCUAAAUGAUUGUGACUCCUGUCUUGUUAGUAAACUCUCUCUUCCUAGUUUUAAUGAAGCAAGCUGCCAUGUUGGACAGGCCUAUGUGGCAAGGAACUGAGGGUGGCCUCUAGCCAUCUGCCAACUAGGAAAUGAGGCCUUUAGUCUAAGUCCUCAAGGCAGUGAAUCCUACUAACAACCACAUGAAUGAGCUUAGAAGCCAUUCUUUCCCCAGUUGAGUCUUCAGAUGAGACUGUAGACCCUAGGCCAACACCUUGACUGCAGCCUUGUGAGAGACCAUGAAGCAGAGGAUUCAACUGAGCUGCGCCUGGAUUCCUGACCCUCAGAAACUGAGAUAAUAAAUGUAUGUGGUUUGAAGGCACUAAAUUUUGAUAUAAUUUGUUACUCAACACGAAAUAACUAAUAUAGUGUGUAUGUGGUUUUUGUUUUAUGCUCUCCACCAAGAGAUGAAUGUACAAUGAAACUAGAGAAACUUACAUUUCUGGGCCCCUCACUUGCAUAAGCCCCUUGCAUGGCCCUGGGAGAGUCCCUAGCAAUGUGUUCAUGUAGUCAUAUGUUUUUGUAAAAUUUACAGAAAACAUUUUAACUGUAAUCAGGGCAGGGUCUUCUUACUGCUUCAGCUCUCCCUCCCUCAUACUUCCUCUUUUUUUUUUUAAUGUUUAUGUAUUUUUGAGAGAGGGAGACAGAAUACGACCAGGGGAGGGGCAGAGUGAGGGAGGGAGACACAGAAUCCGAAGCAGGCUCCAGGCUCUGAGCUGUCAGCACAGACCCCAACACAGGGCUCGAACCUACAAACCGUGAGAUCAUGACCUAAGCCAAAGUCGGCCAUUUAACCGACUGAGACACCAAGGCGCCCCCAUCAUACUUCCUCUUGAGUCUGCUGGUGUGGGAAUGAUUGGGGUAUUUUGAGGAUAUGACUAAGGGGAAGUUGACUUGGAGAUCCAGUUAGUGGGAUUUCAGGGAUAUAUUCAUGUUGCUAGCUAGUCGUUUUUGUGGAAAGUCAUGUUGUUGCCAGGCUGGUACUUGGCAGAGUUAGGAUUCAACCUAGGGUUCAUCUUAUGAACUUAACACAAGUCUGGGUUAUACUUAAUCUAUAUACUUAUACUAAUCUUAUACUUAAGAUUAUACUGGAUUCUUACACUUAAAGGCAUGAGAGUCUGUCCUCAGAUAUUUGCUUUGUUUGACACUCUUUCCCACCUUUCUGCCUGGUCUGUUACCCUAGUCUUAUCACCUAUUGCCACCAUCCAUGUACCCUUUGCUUCAUCCAUUGAACUCUUGUCUUUGCUAGGCGUGCUUGUGCUCAUACUUCUCUCCAGCCCGAAAUGGCAUCUCCCAAGUACAUCUAUGUAGAUUCUUACUAAGUUUUUGCUGUCUUGAUAUAAAACAUUGACAUAUGCCACUAUAAGAAUAUUGGUGGCAAACUGGAUAAUGAGUGUUGUCAAUUCAAAGAAUAAGAUGACACACUGAACAAGAAAACUUGAAAGUCCCUGAAAUUAUAUAUAGCUCCUGUACAAAAUGAACUUGAUAGUUUUCUCCAAAUUUGGGAAAAAUUCAACAAUACAUGACAUUACAAAUAAUGAAUUGUGAAGCUGAGCUGGAGAAGUUGAAAGUGACUUUUCUAAACUGUCAAUGAAAAGCAAGUUUGUUUUUGUUUUUUUGUUUUUUUUAAGUUCAUUUAUUUAUUUUUGAGAGAGAGACAGCAUGAAUAGGGGAGGGGCAGAGAAAGAGAGAAAGAGAGAGAGAGAGAAUCCCAAGCAGGCUCUGCACUGUCACCACAAGCCCAGUGCAGGUCCCAAACUCACGAAACCGUGAGAUCAUAACCUGAACCAAAACCCAUAGUCCCAACACUUAACUGACUGAGCCACUCAGGCACCGUGAAAAGCAAGCUUUGAUCAAACAUGGUAGAGGAAAGACUAAAUUAUCCUUUUUUUUUUCUAUAAAAAAGUAUUUCACAAAUUUAUUGUUAUACAAAGUAGCAACCAGACAGUGCGUGGACCAAAAAAUGUGGGGAAAAAAUGUUAUAGAGAUAUGUCAGACAGUUUAUGAAAAUAUGUAAUUUUUCUGGGUUUUAUGAUUCUUGUAUUUCUAAAGUUUACAUGUUUUUUUAAAAUUUUUUAACAUUUAUUUAUUUUUGAGAGAGAGACACACAAAGCAUGAGCAGAGGAAGGUCAGAGAAAGAGAGAGAGACAGAAUCUGAAGCAGGCUCCAGGCUCUGAGAUGUCAGCACAGAGCCUGACGCAGGGCUCGAACUCACGAACCAUGAGAUCAUGACCUGAGCUGAAACUGGAUGCUUAACCGACUGAGCCACCCAGGCGCCCCUAUAUAGUUUUCAAUUUGUUGUGAUUUUCUUCCUUAUUUUAAGGAAACUAAUCUUGUGUGAAGUUGGAGUUUUAUGUUCUUUGGUGUAAGAGGGACACAAAAUUGCAUAAGCUUCAGGGUUCACCAAGCCUGGAUCUAUUCCACUUCUUAUCAAGUAGGGAAAAAAAUUCCUUGAUAUAGAGAUCAGAAAAUUCCUUCUUCUUACUAUUCUUUUUUUUUUUUUUAACUUUUUUUUUAAAGUUUAUUUAUUUAUUUAGAAAGAAAAGAACAAUGCAAGUGGGGAAGAGGCAGAGAGAGAGGAAGAGAGAAUCCCAAGUAGGUUCUGCACUGCCUUCACAGAGCCCAACAUGGGGCUCGAACUCACGAACCAUGAGAUCAUGACCUGAGCUGAAAUCAAGAGUCGAUGCUUAACUGACUGAGCCACCCAGUGCCCCCUUCCUACUUUUCCACCUCUGAGUCCAUCUGUAUCUUACAUAGCCUUAAUAGGGCUCAAAAAUUUUUAUCUGAAUUAAAUUCAACUAAAAAUGUUUUGGUUUUGAGGAGAGAAGGCAGAAGAAAACAUGACCAAAAAUAUCUUCUGUCUGAAGGGUAGGUGGAUGGAGGGGAAAGUAGAAAAUCCUGUGUAAAUUAAGAAGGUUCCCAGAAUUAGAACCUCAGGUGGAAGUUCUAUUCAGAGACACUUCAGUUAUUUGAGAGAAAACGCUAAUAGUUGACCAUAUAUCAAGGACCCUGCCUGGGCAGGCAGGUAGAUUUCAUGACAUCUGAAGUGUCCUCUUUCAACACCUGGGUGGUGACAGUAGCAGUUCAGGCCCAACUAGAGGAGCUGUACCUAGAGACUGGACUUGGCAUUGGGGCAGGGUAGAGACUGGGGGACAGACUCUAGGGUAAAUCUAGCCCAGCAGGCAGAUCCCUGGCCCUUAAAUAGUGUCAGGGAGAUCUUGUAAGGAGUGGCUUCUCCACACUUCCCUGCUGGGCAGGUCACUAUGACCGCUGUGAGGCUCAGGCAAAACAGAAGGCUGGCCUGAAGAAGGGGAUAGUGCAGAAAGGAGCAAAGUGCAAUGCCAGACUCUGGGGGAACCAGAUGGAAUCCUGUGGUUCAAGAGCAGCUUCCGGGCCUGACUUGUGGUCUUGUUGACAAUACAAGUCCCGCUGGCACUUAGGCUUUCUGGUUAUUUGCCUCCCGUCAGGGGUAUGACCGAGUGACCGCAGCCAAAUAUUUAAUAAUAUCUCAUUAAACAUAGUUCGGCAUUCUGAAAUUUCAGUUAUUUACUGGUUGCUCUGCAUGGCAGUUCUCUCUUCCUUAACAUAAGGGCGGCUUCUUGAGGCCAUCAGAAACAAUAGGCUUAAGAGGAAGGCAAUGUCCUUCAUCUGAUCUUUGUCAGUAUGCUGGCUCUCAUGCUUCUCGCUCCUUACGCUAGCUGAGAAAUACUAAUAGGAAGCUCUUGAGCAAGGCUUGGGGCCCCAACCAUUUCUGACUCUCAGUCCCAAUGUGGAUGGCAGAUCACAGUCUGAGAAAGCCUCUCUUAUAGCAGGGCUGUAUUCCUUGGCGUCUCAAAAGAUAAUUAACUGUUUAAACAAAAACAAUAAUGAUGUAUUAGGAGGUUUAUAAUAUAAGUAAAAGUAAAAUGCAUGAAAACAACAGCAUAAAGACUUGGAGGGGAGAAAUGGAAGUAUGCUACUGUAUGAUUCUUAUAUGAUAUGUGAAAUGGUAUAAUAUCACUUCAUGGUAGAUUGUGAUAAGAUAUAUGCAAUAAACCCAGGGUGCCUGGGUGGUGGCUCAGUUGGUUAAGUAUCCGACUUCGGCUCAGGUCAUGAUCUCACAGUUUUUGAGUUCAAGUCCUGCGUUGGGCUCUGCGCUGACAGCUCGGAGCCUGGACCUGCUUCAGAUUCUGUGUCUCCCUCUCUCUCUGUCCCUCCCCUGCUCAUGCUCUGUCUCUCUCACUCUCAAAAAUAAAUAGUUAGAAAAAAAAAUUAAUUAACAAAGAGAGAUGUUAAGGGAGACAAGACUUUGAGAUCUUAGGCCCUGUGCUAUAAACCACACUUGCCUGAGCAAAAUUAGUCCCAGUGCUACCCAAGACCCUGCACAGGGUGGAUCCUGAAAAGUACAUUGCUUGUCCCUGGGGACUUGGGAGGAGGCUUAUGGUUAGUUUGAGAUAAGUGGAGAUUGGUGGAUUGUUCCUCAAACUUUAUUGCUAAGAGGUUUAAGGUAUCUAGAAAUUCUAGGAAUCAAAAAAGUGGAAUUCUAGGAAUCAAGAAAUCUUUUGGAUAGUGUGUUCAUUCCACUGAAGAGGUCCACUCUAAUGUGGCCAAAUUCUGACCCAUUGAUAACAUAUCAAGGCCAGCAGGUGACAGAAUUGCUGUAUACCUAGCACUGACUCAUUUUUGGUGAUAUUCCAUAGACAGCUACCCUCCACUCCUGGCCAAAGAAGACAGUCUUUGCCUGUUAAAAUGUGAAAGGAUCUGGUGCCAACAUGUUCCCUUUUGUUCUCUCUCGAAGCUGCCAGGGAUGUGGGUGGCUCUUACCUCUGUGUCCACUACUUCUAUGCCCACACUGCUCUCUCAAAGAAGUUUUAUGUGUACACACUGGUGUAAGAGCAUUUUGUGUGCUACAUCAAACUACAUCACCAUGAGGUCAUAUUUUAACUUUCAUACGCAGAUGAGUUUAAGCUACCCCUCAAAUGUUCCCCAGGUGUUUUUGGGAAUGCCCAGGGUUGCUUUGGAACCAGUCUAUUCACAUUCUCCUAUUCAGUGAAGGAGUUUCUGUGGAUGGUGCCCUCAUGACAACAGUGAGGACUACAUACAGACUAUCUUGGGGUGCCCCUUCCACUCAUCUCCACCAGAAUGAGCAACAGUUCCAUGUGCAGAGAAUUUUUAAACCAUGGUCAGGCAACACACACACACACACACACACACACACACACACACAUUCCAAAACAAAACAAAACAAAAUAGGAUUUCUCAUAAGAGAACAAGCUCUGAAGAGAUAUGACUAUGCAAAAGCAUAGACAUCCUCUUACAUUAUAAUAAGCAAUUUAGCUCAAACAUUUCCUGAUUAAAAUUUACAUAACAUUAAUGAACUAGGCAAGUGGUUUCCUGAAAACUAGGAAGAUUCCGAGUCUUCACUUACUGCAAAACAGAAAACUGUUCCCAGCUUUGAAAUGAUAGUUUACAAGUUUUUGUUUUUCUGCCUUCUACCCAGCUCUGGGUAGCCUCCUCCAGCAGUCUCUCAAAGAAGGCAUCUCCUCCCAAGCACUUCGUAUGGGUCUGGGAACUCAGCCUGAACCAUCAGCAGAAACCUUGUUACUCCUCAGCACCUGCUCUAGGUAUUCCUACUGCCAUCUCCUAGGGCUGCAAGGUCUCUAUUAUUCCAGAAUAAUCCAUGAAAGGAAGUGCCUUGGUGAGAUCUGCGUGCUUGUGCUCAACUUUAGUUUGUAGCGCCUAGGUAGAACGCAUCCAUCUGCUGGGUGUGGCCUGUGCUAGGAUCUGAGAGCUACAGAAAUGAACAAGGUAGAACAGGGUGUCAUUCCACAAGUUAUUUGCUCACUGCAAAGGGAAAUAUCUGCUGAUCAGCACUUUAACCAUGCAGUCCAACCUAGUUACUAAGAGUGGGAUGCCUGAUGUGUGCAUUCUGAUGAGAUGCUCUAUGACAUAGAAAGCAUCACCUGUGAAAUAACUUUACCAAAAAGUUUUAACCUAAACCAUCCAACUUCGGUAUUUAAUAGGAAACACAGGUGGUAGAAGAAAACAUUAAACUGCAUCACACACACACACACACAAACACAAUUAGACAGUGGAACAUUCUGUAAGACAUAUGGCCUGCAUUUUUCAAAAAGUCAGUAUAAUAAAUAAUAAAAAUAAUUGAGGGAUUGUUUUACAUUAAAAGAAGCUAAAGAGAAAUAACCUAAUACAAUGUAUAAACCUUGAUUAGAUCCUACUUGAAUAAAACAAAACAAAAUCUAGUUGUAAAAGACAUUUUGGGGAUAGUUUGGGGAAAUUAAAAUUAGAAUUAGAAUUAGGUAAUGUUAGUGCUUGCUUUGGUAGCACAUGUACUAAAAUUGGAAUGAUACAGGGAAGAUUAUCAUGGCCUCUGUGCAAGGAUGACAUACAAAUUCAUGAAGUGUUCCAUACUAAAAAAAAAAAAAGAAUUAUAAUGUUAGGAAAUUAUUUUUAUUAUUGGUAAUCUCAUUAUGGUUAUAUAGGUGAAUGUCCUUAUUUUUAGGAGAUGCAUGCUGAAAUAAUUAGUAGUGAAGUGUCUGGAUGUAUAACUUAUUUUCAGAUUGUUCAGAAAAAAAGGCAAAAAUGUGAACAACUAAUGAAUAUAAAUGAAAUUCAUUCUAUCAUCCAUGUCAACUUUUUGAUUCAAUAGUUUGACAAUUUUCUUAAUCAAGUUGAAGAAAAGAAGAAAUAGAACAUUAACCCCACCAAGUUUUCUUUCAUUCCUUAUGAACUAAGUGUUUUGGUUUUUAAUGUAUUUGUUGUUUUUGUUGUUGUUACUGCUAUCAAGAAUAGCUACUGGAGUGCCCACAGGGGCGGCAGCAGGAGCCAGGGUUCCAUGGAAAAGUGCAGUUGCAUUCUCAGCUCCAGCUGGUUCAACCAUUAACUAGGUGGUGUAGGGCAGAGAAGAAAACCCUUUCCUUCUACUCUUCUAAGUUCUUGGCUGGAGCCUCUAUUACAAAAGACUGAUGAAUAAGAGAAAACCAAAAACCAAAAAAGUUGAUUAACAUGUGUAUCUCAUAUAUAUGGGAGAAACUCAGGGAAAAGUAACUCAAAGAGGUGGCUAGAACUUGAGCUUAAAUACCAUCGUUAGCUAAAACAAAGGAAGUGUGGGGAGGCAAGUUAUGGGAAAAUGACCAGGAAGAGUACAGUCAAUAAGGAUAAGGUUUAUUAAUAUAUAUUUAAGUCAGUGCCUUCUCUAUUGGUAAGUCUCUUGUGAUCUAAAGUCUUCCUUCUCUUUCUGGUACACCCUUACAAAUGGAGAUUUCCUUUAUAAAUGUAAAUUGCCCUUAUAAAAUGGUAACUUCUACCCUGCUUUCAGAGUUUCUUCUGUGUCUGCUGUUUCUCAAAAAACAUGAGCUCAAAAUAAACCUUAAACCAAAGAGACAUAUUUGGGGUGGCAUAUUCUGGUAUUUUUUUCAUGCUUAUUUAUUUAUUUUGAAAGAGAGAGAGAGAGAGAGGACAUAAGCGAGUGUGCACAUGAGCAGGGGAGAGGCAGAGAGAGCGGGAGAGAGAGAACCACAAGCAGCCUCCAUGCUGUCAGCAUGGAGCCCAAUGCAGGGCUCAGUCCCACAAACUGUGAGAUCCUGACUUGAGCUGAGAUCAAGAGUCAAUGCUCAACUGACUGAGCCACCCAGGCACCCCCAUAUUCUGGUCUCUUACAUUGGUCCUUGCUCUGGACUUCAGUCAGCUCCCCUUUACAUGUCAUUCACUGUGCUCAAGCUUUAUAAGCAUGAUUUCAUUAAAAACAAGCCCACAAACAAGCAAAUUAUGCCUGUCUUCAGGAAGCUGAUAAUCUACUAAGGAGGUCUUUCAUCAACAACCUGUAAACCAAGGAGGAAGAAAAUCAGUAUCAUGACAGGUGAAUCCAGAAAGAGCCAUUAAUCCUCUUGGAGGAUUUGAGAGGGAUUUAUGGAAGAGGAAGCUUUUGACUCCCCCUUGAAGGAUUUUGGUAAGUGGGAGCAGGGGGAGGAGGCAUUCUUGGAUGGAGGGCCAGAUGAGCAAAGGUCCAGAUUGUUAAAAGUGCUGGUUAAUGUAGCAAAACCACGUUGUCAGGUACCCGUUUUGGAACUGGAGAGUCUGGGAGUUUUGUAAUUAUUAGCGAGGUUGAACACUUUGUCCCAGGUUCAUGUUCUGCUCCUCCAUUUACAUUUUGUAUAUUUGAUCUUGGUUCUAGAACUUGUCCUUAGAGCUUGGUCCUAGAGCUUGAUGUUUCUCUAGUUCUGUGACUCACAAAAAGGUCUUCUCUUUUGUUGUCUCCAAAAGAAAAUGUUUGCCUAGCAGAGGUGCUUUGAUUUUAGACACUCCUGAUGAGUAUUCAGGUGUUUGGCCUUCCUAUCCUUAUUUGAUUCAAGAUAAUUUGAAAAGAAGAGAAAGGAAUUCUUGAGCCACAAAGCCCAAAUCAUGGUUUUUCACAAUUGCUCCAGAUGGAGCAAGAAGUUCUGAAGCACAACAAUGGUAAAUGAUGUUAUGUAAAGCUGUUAUUUUUUAAUUCCAAAGUUAUUUUUGUUACUAACUACAGAUUUAAUAAAAUACUGGCCAACUAUUGAUGGUGUGUCUUAAUUAAAAAGUAGAGAGCACAGGUUUGGGAAUUAAGCUAACUUGGGUUGGAAUCUUGGCUCUCCAUUUAUUAGCUGUGAGCCCAGGGAUGAGUGACUUAGCUUCUCCGAGAUUCAAUUUUAUCUGUAAAAUGUGUGUAACUAAAAUAUAGCCAAGCCUUCCUGGGCAGCUCAGAUCUGGCCUCACCAAAUAGUGUUGUAUUACAAAAAGAAGGGAAAAAAAAAACCCAUAAAACUGAUUGAGAGAGGAUUACAGAAUAAUCUAUUAUGUUUCUUUGAAAUCAGGACAUGUUUUCAAAUGAUGGGGACUUGUAAUUUCUUCCUCCCUUCCUCCCUCCCUUCCUCCCUAUCUUCCUCCCUCCCUCCCUGCCUCCCUCCGUUCCUUCCUUCCUUCCUUCCUUCCUUCCUUCCUUCCUUCCUUCCUUUUUUCCUGGCACAUAAAAUAGUGAUGUACCUUGCCAUUGAUUGUAUCUUACAGGCAGUGGUGUCUUAGAUUAGAUGAAAUAUGGAAGAGUCUGUAUUGAGGCUUUCUUGAAGCUAUGAAAGAGUAAGUUAUACUUCAUGUACCUGAACUGAAAUAUCCUCUCCAAAUAGCCCACUCUUUCCCCCAAUUCUCCUCUGUAGUAAGCAUGGCAUGUUCCUCUUUUUCUCUCUAGCCUCUUCUUGCAGCCUGCCAGCCCUUGCCAGUCUCCUCCUAUCCCUCCUCUCUACCCUCUCUUUUUCUUUACUCUCCCCUUCCAGCUCUUCAGCCCAGCUCCCUCCAGGCCCUCAGAAUCUCCAUCUCUUUAUUUGAAUUUAGCCCUGUCUCUUUUGGCUUCUCCAUUUCCUCAGUAGUACCCACCAAGGAAAAUAAAAUAUCCUCCAAGGACUCUACCUUUCUAAAAGGUGAAGAGCAGGUAGGAAAUUAUAAAUACUUAACAUUUAACUUUUUGUGUGUGGUUUCAUAGAUUAUAACAAUAUCUACCUCCUGGGGCUUUUGUGAGGGUUAAAAGAGAUAGGGAGUGUAAACAUUUGGCAUGCUGCGGGCACAUGCUAAGAAUUCAAUCAAUGUUAGCUACCAUUACUUACUAUUGUUAUAGAAAUAAAUGUACAAUUAACAUUGUAAUAACACAGGAAAAGAAAGAAAGGGGAAAAAAAAGACCAAAGGAGAAAGAAUCACCCACUGUCUCAACACUGCAUAUUUUCCUAGUAGCAAUAUGGCGUGUGAAAUUUGAUUUUUAUGCUUUUCUGGUGACAGAGCAUUCUUAUGUAUGAAUCACAGUCCAUAAAGGGAGAUAUAAGAAUGAAAAGAAAGUAAUUGUGCAUUUUUAAUGCAUUUUAACAUGCAGCCUUCUGUGAUAUUUUUAGAUCACCACAGAGAGGAACUUACUGUUAUCUUCUUCCUGUAUCUAGCAUGAAUUUCUUUUUCUCUAGUAGAAGACCAUUUGACAGAAACUUUUUGAAAUUCAAAGGAAUGCUACUGCCUUCUAUUCUAAUGAAGUAUUUGAAGAGGGUUGUAAAAAAACUUUAAAAACUAAGAUAAUAAUUUAAAAUAUGCUUUCCUAUUUAUAGUCAUGGAAGAUAGGAGGUAAACUUUGCAGAGUUUAAAAUACAACUUGUGGGGGCAUGCAGGUGGUCAGUCAGUUAAACGUCUGACUCUUGAUCUCGGCUUAGGUCAUGAUCUCACAAUUUAUAAAAUUGAGCCCCACAUUGGUCUGUGCGCUGACAGCGUGAAGCCUGCUUGGGAUUCUCUCUCCCUCUUUCUCCGCCCCUCCCAGCUCCCGUGCACUCUCUCCCCCCCUCUCUCUCAAAUUAAAAAAUAAAUAAAUAAAUAAACCUAAAAAAAAAAUAAAAUGCAACCUGUGGUCUUGGUUGUCAUUUCACAUCACAUGAUUGGGAAUUGGAGAGACUGCCCCGAAGGCUGACAGCCUGCUAUAGACUAAACGGCGUCACCGCCCCCUCCCCCUGCACAACCACCCAAAUUCAUAGGUUGAAGCCCUAACCCGCAAUGUGAUAGUAUUUGGAGUUGGGGUCUUCAGGAGGUGUUUAGGGUUAGAUGAAGUCAUUAGGAUGGGGCCCUCAUAGUGGGAUAAGUGCCCUCAUAAAAAACACUGGAGAGAUCUCUCUUCCUAUGUGCACGGAAGGAAGAGAGCUGCAGUGGGAAGGCAGCUUCCUACAAGGCAAGAGUAGGAGCCUCUGGAUGAAACCUACCCUGCUGCACCUUGAUCUUGGACUUCCCAGCCUCCAUAAUUGGGAAAUAAAUUUCUGUUGUUUAGAACACCCAGUCAAUGGUAUUCUCUUUUGGCAGCCCAAGUAGUCUAAUAGUCUGGUAUCUUCCCAUAUUGGAGGUCAACAGGAAGGUUAACAGCAAGCUUUCUUAGGCCAGUUUCUCCAUGCAACAGGAAGUUUCCUAAAAGCAAUGUGAAAGUUGAGACAGUGUAAGAAGUAGAGAACAUAUGUGUAAUACUGCAAAAACGAAACCUAAGCUUGAUGAAACUCAAAAUUAAGAACUUUUAUUUUUAGAAAUUGCAACAUGGAACUUAACUGUUCCUUGAUUUUUUUUUUUUUUUUUUUUUUUUUGCUGGCUAACAUAUGGAGAUAAUGAGUUGAUACCAAAUGCAAGAGUAUUUUGCUGUCUCAACAGGUUUCACGCUGCUGUUUCGAUAGUGAACAAUCUGAUAGCUGCUGAGAGCCUACCCCAAGGCCCCCAUCAUUCUGUGAUACAGAAAAGAGUCCUUUGACUGUGUGCCUGGGGGAGGAUGCCAAUGAUCUAGGCCCAAAAGAUUUGCUCUGCCUUUAGGAAAACUGUGUUCUUCCUUAAAGGGCAAUUCUGAAUCCAGCUCUUUUUUUGCUCUGUGAGAGAAAGAGAAUAUAAAUAUUGUAAAUUUAGGAGCAAUUUCCUUGAGAGCCAUGUGACAGAAAAAAUUCGCUCUUCCCUCUCUCCAUUGUGCUGUAUAUUUAUAUUAUUCUCUCCCAUGUGGUGGGAGAAGAAAAUUUUACCUUUUAAAACAAGAACCAACUGCUGCCACCUUCCCAUUCUAGAAAAAUAUCUUAUUUUAUCUGAGGGGAAUACGUAGCUGGUCUUAGUGUUAAAGGUGAACACUCACGGGGCGCCUGGCUGGCUUAGUCAGUUUAGCAUCCAAUCCUUGAUCUCAGCUCAGGUCAUAAUCUCACGGUUUGUGAGAUCAAGCCCCAGGUGGGGCUCUGUGCAGACAGUGUGGAGCCUGCUUGGGAUUCUCUCCUUCUCUCUCUCUCUGCCCCUCCCCUGCUUGCACAUGUACGGGCACAUGAGCUCUCUCUCUCAAUAAAAAUUAAAAAAAAAAAAAAAGUGAGCACUCACUCAGAUCCAGGCCCAAAGCUCGG